rnacentral:other from 1 species
GUUGAAGAGAGACGUCCAUUAAAACAAGGAUUGAAAC